rnacentral:lncRNA from 1 species
CCGCCGAGAAUGCCUUUAAUUACUUCAGCAACUCAGAAGCAAUGUAGAGCUUGCUGGCUUGAAGAUCCUAGGCAAGAGACAAGGCCUAGCAGCACACCAGCGCCUCCAACUUUGGCAGAUCAGUAAUUGCCUCAAGCACCCGUGCCGAGGACCCCAUACAGAGGCCAUCACUAUCUCAGUUUGGUAAUGAAGCCAUGAAUCGUCACAGGUAUAGGCGUCCAUCGAGCCGACCUUUUCAAAAAAGCCCGAAAGCCCCAUCGGGCUUGGCCCGUUUGUGCCGAGACCGGCCGGGCGGCCCGAUUAGCAAUUUUAUUUUUCUUUUUUUAGAUAUAAUACACUCCAUCUCAACCCUUAAAUAAAUAUUGGUAGGCCCAAUACUGUCAACCUCCUGAUCACUAGACCACGUUAGUUGUUGUGCCAAGUUACACCGCACAGGAUUUUUGACCCAAUUUCAGGCUGCCACGUGAUAAAAAAGGCCGCAUGCCUGCUUGGGCCGAUCGUCUGAAGGGCGCUUUUUUCCAGGCCCGUCGGCUUCCGUGUCGGGCCGGCCAGAUUGGGCUUUGGUGCCGCGCUUGGGCCACGAGCGGCCAUUUGGGGCCGGGACGCCCGAUGGCCACGUAUAGUCACAGGGUUCUGAUAAGUUUCGUCGUGGAUCACCUUCUGGCAUGCAGACCAUAUCUCGCCUAGAGCGUCAGCAGGAUCUCAACAAACUUAGCAUGUGUCACAGUUUCCAUGAGAUGAAAAACCCAUUCUUUGGCAUUAGGGCUCAGAGAAGCGCCCACAUGCUCGCCCAACUGCUCAUCCGCGAGAGCCCAAACACAUCUUGACAUGGAACACUCUAUCAAUGAAUGGCGCCAGCCAGACCGAAAAAUGGCGCAAACUAAUGAAUCAGCCAUCGCCAGUCUCUCCUCCCGAUCUUUAUUUUGUUUAUGUAAAAGAAUCCACUU